rnacentral:rRNA from 1 species
UACAGAGGGUGCAAGCGUUAAUCGGAUUUACUGGGCGUAAAGCGUGCGUAGGCGGUUCGCUAAGUCGGUUGUGAAAUCCCUGGGCUUAACCUGGGAACUGCAGUCGAUACUGGCGAACUAGAAUGCGGUAGAGGGUGGCGGAACUCCGGGUGUAGCGGUGAAAUGCGUAGAUAUCCGGAAGACCACCGAUGGCGAAGGCACCCACCUGGGCCUGCAUUGACGCUGAGGUACGAAAGCGUGGGGAGCAAACAGG